rnacentral:RNase_P_RNA from 1 species
GAAAGGCGAUUGUCGCGGGCGGAAGCAAUUCCGCGUGAGGAAAGUCGGGACAGCGCAGAGCACCAUGCUUCCUAACGGGAAGGCGCCGGAGACGGCGACAGCAAGUGCCACAGAAAAUUACCGCCCGCAAGGGUAAGGGUGAAAACGCGAGGUAAGAGCUCACGCCGUCGUGUGGUGACAUGCGACGGAGGUAAACCUUAUGGGCUGGACGACCAAAUAUACCCGCGUUUGAGGGCUGCUCGUCCGAGCCGGGAGGGUAGGUUGCUAAAGGCAAGUGGCGACGCUUGUCGUAGAGAAAUGACAAUCACUCAGCAAUGAGUACAGAAUCCCGCUUAUGCCUUUCUUUU